AAGAGGGUGAACUGUUUCCUUUACCUAAGCAUGCUCAGCCGUAUCAUACAUUACAUAUGGAUCACUUAGGUCCAUUUGUGGAGACAAAACAAAAAAAUAGGUAUUUAUUAGUGAUGGUUGACGCGUUUACAAAGUUUGUAUUCAUUUAUGCCGUGAAAACAACAAACUCUGCUCACGUCAUUAAAGAAUUAGAACUUAUGUCUAAAACGUUUGGAUAUCCAAGGCGCGUGAUCACGGAUGCGGGUACAGGGUUUACGUCUAGUGAGUUUACACAAUAUUGCCAUAGUAAUAACAUUCGGCGUCAUACAGUAGCUACAGGAAUGCCACGUGGAAACGGUCAGGCGGAGCGUUUUAAUAAAACCAUUUUAGAUGCUAUGAGGACGUUAGGCGCUAAUACGGAUGACGAUCGUUGGGACCAAUAUGUUAAAGUAUUACAACAGGGACUCAACAGCACUAUACAUAAAACCACCAAAGCAGUACCAAGUGAAGUGUUCUUAGGAUAUCGCGUAAGAACAGCUAGCGAUAAUUUAUUGACAUCCGAGCUUGAUAACGGGGUAUUAACUGAUGUUUCUGACUUGCGUAAAAAGGUCGAUGAAAAUAUUAAAGCCGAUGCAUUAUAUCAGAAAAAGCGGUUCGAUGAAUCACGAGUUCAAGCGUGCAAGUAUUCGGUGGGUGAUCUUAUUUUGCUGAAAAAUCAAAGCAAAAAUAACGAUGGUCAAAGUAGAAAGCUGAUGCCAACUUAUAAGGGACCAUUUCAAGUCAAGAGCGUCCUAGGGAAUGACAGAUACGAGGUGACGGAUAUGCGAGGCUCGGAACGAAGUACUAAGCUCUAUUCGGGCACAGCCGCGGCGGAAAACAUGAAGCCGUGGAUUCGAAUAGGAGAUUGGCCUUCAGAUUAAAUGACCCUGGAUGGAUCGUGGUGGUGUCAGGGGCUGACACAUUGCAGAACGGCCGUGUUGGCAACCCCGAGUUCACGCCAAGAUUCUACCUGCUGCGCGGCCGACUUGGUGGUGGUGGCGCCCCUCCACCUGCAUAAAUACCGCUGCAGAGCCGGGGACCGGGGCUUUUGCGAUUUAGACUUCGGCUUCGACACAUGAUAUUUCGUUUAGCAAUGUAAUUUGAUUUAUUGUACAUUUAUUUUUUGAUUAAAAAGUAUUUCGUAUA